ensembl:lncRNA
CUCACCUGUAUGGCCCCAUUCCUUCCACACCCUGCCCCGUGUGGAGACUGAGCCAAUCACACCUAAUUAACUGCAGCUGGAAAUAACUGAAGAGGCCAGAGAUGCGCACAAAUACAAUAGUGAAUGUAGUCGGGCAAUUUAAUAGGGUCGGAAUACAAACCUGUGGAGGAAUUUGUUUUGAUGGAGAAUUUCAUCUCUCUGAGCACAAUAAGGCCAAGUCAGAUUCUACAGGGUAGUUGCUUUGACACUGGGAGUGAAUGUGUCUGGAAGCCCAGAAAAAAUCUGCUUCCAGUAUGUCAGACUAUUGAUUAUUUAGUGCACUUUUUUUUGACCAGGACCAAUAAACCGAAGGUAAGAAGCAAUACCUUAGUUAAGAAAUGUCCAAUCUGAGAUGCAACCAAUACCAAAAUACAGUAACACAAAAAUGCCAAUAUUUAAGCACUAGAGAUUAAAUUGUUCAUUGUUUCUUAAAAUCAUAUGCGGUUAGGACACCGGUCCUGUGUUGCCCAGUUUUUAAAGCACGGUGAUUUCCGUGCCUGAAAAUGUAGGUUUGAUCCCCAAGGGGGACAAGGUCAGAAAUGUAUGCACUCGCUACUGUUAGACCCUCUGCUGAAGAGUGUCAGCCAAAUGUCUAAAACGUAAACACAGAACAGUGCAAGUGUUGAAUUUAAAUGUUGUUUUACUGUUAGAUAAUUCCCAGAUUUCUCAUCACAGUUCAUGAUGAAUCAGUAUUAAUUAAGGCUGUGCACCAUGCUCCUAGCCUGCUAAACGGUUAGUUAAACAUUUCUACUGCCUGGGGCGACCACUUUUCUUUUCAAACUUCAGCGGCAAUCUAAGAGAUGUGAAAACGUCACGGUCCACAGAGGAGGGGUUUUAAGGCAAGGCUGGACUAUAUAAACCCAAUGGAAGCCUGAGGGACGUACAGAAAUAUUGUUCCAGGCUAGGAUACUAGGUUUUUCCCAAGUUCUAAUGAAUAACAUGUAUUUCUUUGGGAAGGUUGUGUGUGUUCUCUUGAUUUUAGUUCCGAUGUUGAGUUUGACACAGGCGGGUGUGAUUAGGCUGAGGCAUGAUAGACCAAGUGGCCAGGUGAAUUGGCCAGGUAGAACUGGAGGCAAGGGAAGGACUGGCUUCAUGUCACGCCAAGGAAGACCCCACCUCCCUGAAGAAAGGCUUCUUGAAGAAUAUCCCUUGUUCCACGGUGGAGCGAUUGAUCGUGUCGAUAUGGGCCAUUUAAACCAAGGUUUUGAGGGAUUCGGCUCCUUUUCUCAGCCAAUUCUGCUGAAGAGGGAACACAUGGAUCGUGACCAGAGGAGCUUUGGUCAGUUCAACUCCAGCCAGUUCCAGUCGGGUCACUUCAACUCUGACACAGGUGGCUGCAGUGGAAUCCAGGGGAGGAGCUGCAGUCGUCGCGGCCAAUGUGCAGGAUGCCUGGGCCUCUUCACCUGUCACGUGGAACUCGGAAAGUGCCAGAUGAAAGGGCUUUCACAAAGGACAGGAACGACCGGGUGCUUGAGAGCAAGUUCUUCCAGACUCUGAAUGAGGCCCAAAGCAGAUGAUUAAACCACCACCGCCAAUGAAGUUCCUGCUAUUGUGUGCCCCAUUGGUUAUGUAGUAUAGUGAAAAGAAUAUGCAUAGGAAGUUGUAUGUAGCGAGGUGGUCAAAUCUAUGUACUUCAAAUUAUAUUAAGUGCUUUUCAAUUAAAUUGAAUGUGGUUCACUUUUAGAAUAGAACCGCAAAGUACCCCAAUGCUGGUAUGUAAAUUUAAUUCCUUACCCAGUUCUAUAUAAUAUAUCACAUAAGUUGAAAAAUUAAAUCCAUUGCUGAUAAGUUUCAAUAGCAGAUUACUUUCACAACACCCAGGCACGUGUUACACAUUAAAAAACAGGCACCAAUUGUAAUAUUGCAUACUCAUGUCAUAACAUUUUUGGCAGAGCGCACCAGUACAUGUUCCCACCUAAAUGUUUUUGCAGCAAUGCAGAACAUGUGUGGAUCCAUUACAGUCACUUAAUGUGUAACAGAGUGUUAAUAAGUUGUUGGUAUGAUCCAAAACAUGUUUAAUCUAGCUACAAUAUAUCCAAACAGGAUGAUUCCACUUAUUUGCAUGUGAGGCUUAAACCAGUCCCUACCAUACACUCCAAUGUAUUUGUCCACUUUUCGAUGUUUCUAUAUUUCUGUCUAUGUCUGUGAAUGGUAUUAGCUCUUCAACCAAACAAUAAUAUUAAAUAAAGGGAACAUAAGCGAGGAAAUAAGAAAAUAUUUAUAUAUUGAUUCUAUUUACGUAAUUAACAAAGCAAUAACCAAUAAUCCCCUGUGAAAAAACGAUGCGACACCUUAAGCUGCCUAAACUAACACGUUCUUUAUUUGUCGUGUUUCACAUCACCAUGUUAGACUUUUUGCCAACUCUUCCUUGCAGAACACUGCUUGUUUCAUGUCUUGUCUCAACUGGGUUUAGCACAGGAAAUAGAUACGGUAAUUCCAGCUCUUUCAACUGGUUGACCAUUGUCUUGCUGCAUGAUCAUGAUACACUCCAACUCAUAGACUGUUGAGCUGACACUGUCUUUUAGAAAUAUCUGAUACAUAGCAGAAUUCAUGGUUCCUUCAGAGAUGGCAAAACAUCCCGUUAUCCCCUAUGCUAGCCUGGAUAAAGGUUGGAGAAUGUGGUAUUAGACUUGCUUGUCCAAAGUUCUGUUUAAUUUUGACGCAUCUUUCAAUUCUCUGUAUACACUCAGAGUCCUGAGCAGACAUUUUGAACAGUCUGGGUCCUAUUGUGUCAGGUCAAAACCAAACACUGCAUUCCACAGUAGUGACCCCUUAUGAAAGGUCAAGCAUGGAGAAGCAUGUUUUGGGGAUGAUUUCCCGUUUUGGGAUCAAUCUAUUAGUUCAAACUGUUUAAAAACAGUCAUCAAAAAUGUAGUUAGCAGUUUUUAAGAAUUUAGCUUGAAUUUUUAUUGCAAUUAUUUUUGAGGAAUCCAGUUUGAUAAGUUACAUUAUUUUAUGUCCCUCAGUGCCCCAGCCUGAUGGCUUGUGUUGUUCUUUAUUACUUUUGUGAUUUUAUAUUCAAUCUCCCUCAGAAUCAAUUCCAAUUUCUUGGAUACAUCCUUCUGGCCUCAGUGUGUCAUGUCCUGGCAGGGCAGGCCAGCUGUGCCAGUCAAAUCCAACUCAGUAAUGACCAACAACAAACACUAGGCAGGGAGGAUUUAAAUAGGGACAGUGGUCAGGAUCAGGAACAGUGAUGAGGACAAUAACAUAUACUGUGUCAGUGCCUCAUAAGUGUCUUUUAUUUUAGUUCCCUAUUGUUUGUUGUAGGUCCUUAUUUGGUUCUCGUGCCACUGCAACAUUGUUUUUGUGUGUAGUUUUGUUACCUUUUAGUGCAGGGACUACCUGAGUCUGCUUUUCAUCAAACUACUAAUUAGAAUCAGGUGUGCUGAAUAAGAGUUGGAGAGAACCUACAGGACUGUGGCUCUCCAGGAACAGGG